rnacentral:rRNA from 1 species
UACAGAGGAGCCAAGCGUUGUCCGGAUUGACUGGGCGUAAAGCGCACGCAGGCGGAUGCGCGCGUGGGGUGUGAAAUCUGGCCGCUUAACGGCCAGGCGCCAUCCCAUACGGCGCGUCUGGAGUGAUGCAGAGGUCGAUGGAAUUGCCGGUGUAGUGGUGAAAUGCGUAGAGAUCGGCAGGAACACCCAGGGGGGAAACCAGUCGACUGGGCAUCUACUGACGCUGAGGUGCGAGAGCGUGGGGGAGCGAACCGG